rnacentral:rRNA from 1 species
CCCGUGGAACUCAAUGAACCGGAGCGGCGAUAUUCACCCGUGCGUCGGAGCGCAGCCACUGCGUCCCCGGCCGCGGAGCACUUAUCGUCCGCAGCGUACGGACAUCGCGAUCCAUUACGAGCGCGCACUGCACCCCAGUGCCAACUCCAACACCAGGUCCCAGACUCGCGCGGUCGACCCCCAAGUAGUCGCACUCAGCUCACAGCCGGUGCCGCAAACCGGGGAUUCGGGGUGGCCUCUGGCCUGCCCCGGAGCAUCGGCCGAGUCAGGUGUACCGUUGGCGGCGUGAUGGUAUCACACGGAACGUGGGAGAUGGAAGCGCAUGCCCUCGCGGCAUGUCCCGGCACCUAGCCAUGGGCGACCACUCACCCGAUCCGCGAUGUGUUCACACUUAUUGAGGUACCCUCGGG